rnacentral:rRNA from 1 species
CGUGAGUGAUGAAGGCCUUCGGGUCGUAAAGCUCUGUCAAGUGGGAAGAACCUAUGCAGUGUUAAUGUCACUGUGUACUGACGGUACCACUGAAGGAAGCACCGGCUAACUCCGUGCCAGCAGCCGCGGUAAUACGGGGGGUGCAAGCGUUAUUCGGAAUCAUUGGGCGUAAAGAGCAUGUAGGCGGCCUGGUAAGUCAGAUGUGAAAGCCCGGGGCUUAACCCCGGAAGUGCAUUUGAUACUGUCAGGCUUGAGUAUGGGAGAGGGAAGUGGAAUUCCUGGUGUAGAGGUGAAAUUCGUAGAUAUCAGGAGGAACACCGGUGGCGAAGGCGACUUCCUGGACCAAUACUGACGCUGAGGUGCGAAGGCGUGGGUAGCAAACAGGAUUAGAUACCCUGGUAGUCCACGCAGUAAACGUUGUUCACUAGGUGUAGCGGGUAUUGACCCCUGCUGUGCCGCAGUUAACGCAUUAA